GGAUCGAUGAUGAGUACCCCUACCUCUAUGCAUUCCUUGGAAAACCUGAACAAAAUGAGUGAGAAUUCCCACCACCGCCGUUCUCAUCGUAUCUGAGGUCC
ensembl:snoRNA SNORD116 Small nucleolar RNA SNORD116